rnacentral:rRNA from 1 species
GAUGAACGCUGGCGGCGUGCCUAAUACAUGCAAGUCGAACGAAGAUCUAGCUUGCUAGAUCUUAGUGGCGAACGGGUGAGUAAUACAUAAAUAAUCUGCCCAUAUGACUGGGAUAACUAUUGGAAACGAUAGCUAAUACCGGAUAGGUUGAUUGGAGGCAUCUCUGAUUAAUUAAAGUAGGAUUUCUACACAAAUGGAUGCGUUUAUGGCGCAUUAGUUAGUUGGUGGGGUAACGGCCUACCAAGACGAUGAUGCGUAGCCGACCUGAGAGGGUGACCGGCCACACUGGGACUGAGACACGGCCCAGACUCCUACGGGAGGCAGCAGUAGGGAAUUUUCGGCAAUGGGCGCAAGCCUGACCGAGCAACGCCGCGUGAGUGAUUAAGGCCUUCGGGUUGUAAAGCUCUGUUGUAAGGGAAGAACAUUCAGGAUAGGAAAUGAUCUUGAACUGACGGUACCUUACCAGAAAGCCACGGCUAACUACGUGCCAGCAGCCGCCGUAA